AACGAACGCUGGCGGCAUGCCUAACACAUGCAAGUCGAACGGGCUGUAGCGAUACAGUCAGUGGCGAACGGGUGAAUAACGCGUGGGAACCUGCCUCGGAGUUCGGAAUAACCGCGGGAAACUGCGGCUAAUACCGGAUACGGCCUGAGGGCGAAAGGAGCAAUCCGCUCCGGGAGGGCCCGCGUCCGAUUAGCUAGUUGGUGGGGUAACGGCCUACCAAGGCGAUGAUCGGUAGCUGGUCUGAGAGGAUGAUCAGCCACACUGGAACUGCGACACGGUCCAGACUCCUACGGGAGGCAGCAGUGGGGAAUAUUGGACAAUGGGGGAAACCCUGAUCCAGCAAUGCCGCGUGGGUGAUGAAGGCCUU
rnacentral:rRNA from 1 species